rnacentral:sRNA from 1 species
UCAGAAUCAGCUGAGCGUCGUGCUCGAAGU